rnacentral:rRNA from 1 species
ACUCCUGCGGGAGGCAGCAGUGGGGAAUCUUGCGCAAUGGGCGAAAGCCUGACGCAGCCAUGCCGCGUGAAUGAUGAAGGUCUUAGGAUUGUAAAAUUCUUUCACCGGGGACGAUAAUGACGGUACCCGGAGAAGAAGCCCCGGCUAACUUCGUGCCAGCAGCCGCGGUAAUACGAAGGGGGCUAGCGUUGCUCGGAAUUACUGGGCGUAAAGGGAGCGUAGGCGGACAUUUAAGUCAGGGGUGAAAUCCCGGGGCUCAACCUCGGAAUUGCCUUUGAUACUGGGUGUCUUGAGUAUGAGAGAGGUGUGUGGAACUCCGAGUGUAGAGGUGAAAUUCGUAGAUAUUCGGAAGAACACCAGUGGCGAAGGCGACACACCGGCUCAUUACUGACGCUGAGGCUCGAAAGCGUGGGGAGCAAACAGGAUUAGAAACCCUAGUAGUCCCAUGA